AGAGUUUGAUCAUGGCUCAGGAUGAACGCUAGCUACAGGCUUAACACAUGCAAGUCGAGGGGAAACGACAUCGAAAGCUUGCUUUUGAUGGGCGUCGACCGGCGCACGGGUGAGUAACGCGUAUCCAACCUGCCCAUCACUUGGGGAUAACCUUGCGAAAGUAAGACUAAUACCCAAUGACGUCUCUAGAAGACAUCUGAAAGAGAUUAAAGAUUUAUCGGUGAUGGAUGGGGAUGCGUCUGAUUAGCUUGUUGGGCGGGGUAACGGCCACCAAGGCGACGAUCAGUAGGGGUUCUGAGAGGAACGGUCCCCCANAGUUGGAACUGAGACACGGUCCAAACUCCUACGGGAGCA
rnacentral:rRNA from 1 species